CUCAUUUACUUCAACAGAAACUAAGCGGCCACCGCGCGCAGGUGGCCUUUUUU
rnacentral:sRNA from 1 species